rnacentral:rRNA from 1 species
AUUCUGUAGCAAGGUUAACCGAAUAGGGGAGCCGAAGGGAAACCGAGUCUUAACUGGGCGUUAAGUUGCAGGGUAUAGACCCGAAACCCGGUGAUCUAGCCAUGGGCAGGUUGAAGGUUGGGUAACACUAACUGGAGGACCGAACCGACUAAUGUUGAAAAAUUAGCGGAUGACUUGUGGCUGGGGGUGAAAGGCCAAUCAAACCGGGAGAUAGCUGGUUCUCCCCGAAAGCUAUUUAGGUAGCGCCUCGUGAAUUCAUCUCCGGGGGUAGAGCACUGUUUCGGCAAGGGGGUCAUCCCGACUUACCAACCCGAUGCAAACUGCGAAUACCGGAGAAUGUUAUCACGGGAGACACACGGCGGGUGCUAACGUCCGUCGUGAAGAGGGAAACAACCCAGACCGCCAGCUAAGGUCCCAAAGUCAUGGUUAAGUGGGAAACGAUGUGGGAAGGCCCAGACAGCCAGGAUGUUGGCUUAGAAGCAGCCAUCAUUUAAAGAAAGCGUAAUAGCUCACUGGUCGAGUCGGCCUGCGCGGAAGAUGUAACGGGGCUAAACCAUGCACCGAAGCUGCGGCAGCGACACUAUGUGUUGUUGGGUAGGGGAGCG